GCAUAUUGUGUAAAGUAUAUGGAGGGAAAGAUUUAUUUAGGAAUGGCUUAUGGUAAAAAGAUUAACAUUCAAAAACUGAAAUAGUUCUCUCUGUAAUAUAAUAUCCAGAAAAAAAGGUAAUAAAAGAACCUAUUUAUUCAAUAUUUUUUAGGUACUUAUAUAGACAAGUAAUAAUGAUUAUUUAAAACAAGGACACUAAAUGAGAAUAAUAUUAUCACUUUUAUUAACCUAUAAACCGUUUCAUGUAUUAUUUUAAAUAAUCAUUGUUAUUGUACAAUUAAACAUAUUUGAUAUUUCAAAUUAAUAAGAAUCUGAAAAAUAAAGUCAUAAUUUUUAUGAGAUCAUCAGUGAAUUAUAUCCUUGAGUCACUAGUAACCUUUGAGCUUUGUAGAACAAUCAAUUUUGUUGUUCAAAACUGUUGUUUUAAAGUCAAUUACUUUCAUAUAGGUAUUGAAGAAACUUUCCUGUAAUUAUAAUCUAAUAUAUUAUAUACCUACUGGUACUCUUAUACUGGACUUAUAUUCACUUUAUAUAUAUAACAAGUAAUGAAGAUAAUUUAUAAUUAUAUUUAACCUAUAUUCACUUUAUAUAAUAAAAAGUAAUAAAACUAAUGAUAAAUGUAUAAUAGGUCAUUUCAUUAAUAAUAAACAAGAACUUAUGUUUACC